AGUGGCGGACGGGUGAGUAACGCGUGAGAAUCUGCCUUGGGGUCGGGGACAACCACUGGAAACGGUGGCUAAUACCGGAUAAGCCGAUUGGUGAAAGAUUUAUUGCCCGAAGAGGAGCUCGCGUCUGAUUACCUAGUUGGUGAGGUAAGAGCUCACCAAGGCAGCGAUCAGUAGCUGGUCUGAGAGGACGAUCAGCCACACUGGGACUGAGACACGGCCCAGACUCCUACGGGAGGCAGCAGUGGGGAAUUUUCCGCAAUGGGCGAAAGCCUGACGGAGCAAGACCGCGUGAGGGAGGAAGGCUCUUGGGUUGUAAACCUCUUUUCUCAGGGAAGAAGCUCUGACGGUACCUGAGGAAUCAGCCUCGGCUAACUCCGUGCCAGCAGCCGCGGUAAUACGGAGGAGGCAAGCGUUAUCCGGAAUUAUUGGGCGUAAAGCGUCCGCAGGUGGCGAUUCAAGUCUGCUGUCAAAGCACGGGGCUUAACUCCGUAAAGGCAGUGGAAACUGAAUAGCUAGAGUGCCGUAGGGGUAGAGGGAAUUCCCGGUGUAGCGGUGAAAUGCGUAGAGAUCGGGAAGAACAUCGGUGGCGAAAGCGCUCUACUGGACGGCAACUGACACUCAGGGACGAAAGCUAGGGGAGCGAAUGGGAUUAGAUACCCC
rnacentral:rRNA from 1 species